UUCAAGUCUUCAUCGAGAAAGGAGUGAAGCUGACUUAGAUCUCUGAAGCGAUCAGUAAUCCGGGGUGCAAUCUGUCCUCUGGGCCAUGGACAUCACUGUAGAGCAAAUGUGUUUGGUUAAUGCUGAAGCUGGAUGACAAGAAGAUGACAUGGAUCACAUCACAUGGAGGUGAUCCUCAUGGCUGAACUACAAGUGACGAUGUGGACGACUUUUGUCAAGGUAUCAAUCUGCCCGGGUUUUCGAGGCUGACCAUGGGGCUGCGUGGGUUCUCUACACUGCUGGCUUGUGAUGGUCCAGUGACAUGUUGGAGUCCAAGCCUGGCUGAACUGAUGAGGGCAGUCUACAGUGGAGUGGCCAUACCCCUGCCAACAUCAACUAAUUCUGAAGCAUGAAAAUGUUCUGCUGUAGGAGUGACAUCACUCCCCAUGAAAUAUAUUCAUUUUUCAGUCCUAAUGUAUGAAAUGUCAUGUCAAUGAGUAAUAAAAAGACAAAAUGA